GAACGCUACAAAAUAUAAUCUGUACUGACAAUAAUAAUUCUGGACCAGCCAAAAAGACAAGAUUAUUAUUUGGACGCUUGAAACAGAAAACGUUUGUCUGACUCGGAUUCACAAUAAUAAUCUCCGACUUCAGAUUGGCAGAUAUUAUAUGAAGCGUGAAGGCAGAUAUUAUUUGAAGCGUGAAGGCAGAUAUUAUUUGAAGCGUGACGAAAAGAAGCACCCCAUUGAGAGAGAUUAGCACGUGACGCAAGCGGCACGUAUGACUUUUGUCCGACAGACCUAACCGUUAUUCAACUUAUUGACUCAUGGAUAGAGGGUGUCCUUAAAAGAUCUGUGUGGAUCCUGGAACAGAGAAUGGAAUCGUUGCAGCAUUUCAUUGAAUCCUGUUUAGAAGGAAAUGGCAAUUCAGUUACUUAGGGAAAAUCUGGAGCAAAUCAAGGUGCUUCACAAUACUUCUAUGCAGUUCAACAAAAUACAGCGCCUCAUUUACAGAGACUCGUAAUUAAACAAUUUCCAAGAUCUUGAUGAAGAUUUUACAUGUGUGGCAACAUCUAUUUUGCAUCAGCAUGAUCUGCCUUUGCCUGACACCUUGAGAGACUGGACCUCUUCUCAUCAUCUCUACAUAUAUAUGAGGGAGUGCAUGAUGCAUUUGAUGAUUCUUUAACAUCAUAAGAUGUUGUAGAAUAUACAUUUGUUUCCAUGACUUUGUACACCUGCUUUUAUUGCCAGCUGAUUUGUGUUUCAUAGUUUUAUGUAUUUAACUAAUCAGAUACAUUUUCAUGUAUUCACAUUUUCUGGGGGUGUUUUUUUUUAUCCUUGAAAUAUUUUAAAUGUGGAACUUUACAGAAUUUCAUUUGGUAUGAAUGCUAAAGGCUAUUCAUGAACAGAAUUUGUUCUUUGAACUCUCCCAUCCCACUCCACCAUCCCCUACAAAAACAUCCAUGAAUUUUGUCCAAGCCAUACCUUUGUACUGUUAAACUUGCUAACCACAGGAGAAGUUUACAGAAUUUUUUUUUUUUAUUUACUAUGCAUUUAUAUAUUCAAAAUGUUUAGCACCUUCUGAUAUGUAUUAUUAAUGUCAGAUAUGCAUGAUUGUGUAAUAAAUUAUAUACAUGUAUUUAUUGAAUUGUCUUUGAUACUUAAAGUGUUUGUGCUGUAAUAGACUAUGGUUGCCAAAGCAAGGUUCUGAUCUAAAAUAGUCAUGUUGGUUGCUAUAAUGUAAAUUACAGUAUGCAUCCACAUACUUGUAUAUAUAUGUUUUAGAUGUGACAUUGUUUAAAUAUUUUAGGGUUAAUGUGAUUAAGACAAUAUAACUCUUUGAACCAUGAUUGGUGUUGAUUUCUCCUAAAACCCUCAUUAUAACAAUUAUUUAAAAGUAUUUUGGAAUUGAUUCUCAGUUCAAUGAAAUAUCUUUCUUGUGUAUGUAC